AUUGAACGCUGGCGGCAGGCCUAGCACAUGCAAGUCGAAUGGUAACAGGAAACAGCUUGCUGUUUCGCUGACGAGUGGCGGACGGGUGAGUAAUGUCUGGGAAACUGCCUGAUGGAGGGGGAUAACUACUGGAAACGGUAGCUAAUACCGCAUAACGUCGCAAGACCAAAGAGGGGGACCUUCGGGCCUCUUGCCAUCAGAUGUGCCCUGAUGGGAUUAGCUAGUAGGUGGGGUAACGGCUCACCUAGGCGACGAUCCCUAGCUGGUCUGAGAGGAUGACCAGCCACACUGGAACUGAGACACGGUCCAGACUCCUACGGGAGGCAGCAGUGGGGAAUAUUGCACAAUGGGCGCAAGCCUGAUGCAGCCAUGCCGCGUGUAUGAAGAAGGCCUUCGGGUUGUAAAGUACUUUCAGCGGGGAGGAAGGGAGUAAAGUUAAUACCUUUGCUCAUUGACGUUACCCGCAGAAGAAGCACCGGCUAACUCCGUG
rnacentral:rRNA from 1 species